rnacentral:rRNA from 1 species
GUGCCUAAUACAUGCAAGUGGAACGCAUGAUUGAUACCGUAGCUUGCUACACCAUUAAUCAUGAGUCGCGAACGGGUGAGUAACGCGUAGGUAACCUGCCUACUAGCGGGGGGAUAACUAUUGGAAACGAUAGCUAAUACCGCAUAAGAGUUUUUAACACAUGUUAGAAAUUUAAAAGGAGCAAAUGCUUCACUAGUAGAUGGACCUGCGUUGUAUUAGCUAGUUGGUAAGGUAACGGCUUACCAAGGCGACGAUACGUAGCCGACCUGAGAGGGUGAUCGGCCACACUGGGACUGAGACACGGCCCAGACUCCUACGGGAGGCAGCAGUAGGGAAUCUUCGGCAAUGGGGGGAACCCUGACCGAGCAACGCCGCGUGAGUGAAGAAGGUUUUCGGAUCGUAAAGCUCUGUUGUAAGAGAAGAACGUUGAGUAGAGUGGAAAGUUACUCAAGUGACGGUAUCUUACCAGAAAGGGACGGCUAACUACGUGCCAGCAGCCGC